UACAGAGGUCUCAAGCGUUGUUCGGAUUCCUUGGGCGUAAAGGGUGCGUAGGUGGCGGGGUAAGUCAGGUGUGAAAUCUCGGAGCUCAACUCCGAAACUGCACUUGAUACUGCCUUGCUCGAGUACUGGAGAGGAGAUUGGAAUUUACGGUGUAGCAGUGAAAUGCGUAGAUAUCGUAAGGAAGACCAGUGGCGAAGGCGAAUCUCUGGACAGUUACUGACACUGAGGCACGAAGGCCAGGGGAGCAAACAGG
rnacentral:rRNA from 1 species